rnacentral:rRNA from 1 species
AGACCCGAAACCCGGUGAUCUAGCCAUGGGCAGGUUGAAGGUUGGGUAACACUAACUGGAGGACCGAACCGACUAAUGUUGAAAAAUUAGCGGAUGACCUGUGGCUGGGGGUGAAAGGCCAAUCAAACCGGGAGAUAGCUGGUUCUCCCCGAAAGCUAUUUAGGUAGCGCCUCGUGAAUUCAUCUCCGGGGGUAGAGCACUGUUUCGGCUAGGGGGCCAUCCCGGCUUACCAACCCGAUGCAAACUGCGAAUACCGGAGAAUGUUAUCACGGGAGACACACGGCGGGUGCUAACGUCCGUCGUGAAGAGGGAAACAACCCAGACCGCCAGCUAAGGUCCCAAAGUCAUGGUUAAGUGGGAAACGAUGUGGGAAGGCCCAGACAGCCAGGAUGUUGGCUUAGAAGCAGCCAUCAUUUAAAGAAAGCGUAAUAGCUCACUGGUCGAGUCGGCCUGCGCGGAAGAUGUAACGGGGCUAAACCAUGCACCGAAGCUGCGGCAGCGAACGUAUCACUUAAAGCGAUUCAGCGGGUUACGAUUGACGGAGCGAAGCGACGUCAAAGCGUAUACAAAGUCGAGUCGGUUUAAGGAUACGUUCGUUGGGUAGGGGAGCGUUCUGUAAGCCUGUGAAGGUGGCCUGUGAGGGUUGCUGGAGGUAUCAGAAGUGCGAAUGCUGACAUAAGUAACGAUAAAGCGGGUGAAAAGCCCGCUCGCCGGAAGACCAAGGGUUCCUGUCCAACGUUAAUCGGGGCAGGGUGAGUCGACCCCUAAGGCGAGGCCGAAAGGCGUAGUCGAUGGGAAACGGGUUAAUAUUCCCGUACUUGGUGUUACUGCGAAGGGGGGACGGAGAAGGCUAUGUUGGCCGGGCGACGGUUGUCCCGGUUUAA